GGUUAAUGAUUUUUUUAAAACAAAAUUAACCUCUAAUUUUUAUCCAUUAUGACAAAAAUAACCCAAAAAGUUUAUCAAAUAUCAAUCUGUCACCGACGCUAGAAAACCCAAGCGACUCCCACCCCGUGUUCGCGUGUUCCCGACUCACAGAAACCUAGCGCGGCGAUCCUCCUUGCGGCGAUCUAGCAGUGUUCUUCCCUACCGCGAAGUCAUCCCCACUCGCGAACUCUUUCCCCCUUCGCGAAGAGCCCUAGCGGCUUCCCCCUCGGAAGGCGUCCCACUCGCGAGCAUUCCCCACUCCUCUUCUUGAAAAAGAUUAUGGAUGGCCGAAUGCUGAAGAUAUGGACCGAUCGAGCUGUUGAGAUCAAGCAGCAUGGCUGGUUCUGGGAGUACAGUCUACUAGGUGUGACGAUCGAUAGUAUCACUGUGUCCUUAAAUGGCUGUCGGUCGACAGUGGAGGCUACAAUCAAGGAAUCUGCUAAGUUGACUGACGAUGCUCACCCCGAGCAUAACGAUUCCUGCAGUACCACCUACACCACCAGGUACGAGAUGGCGUAUACCAAGUCAGGCUGGAAGAUAACCGAAGGAUAUGUUCUUAAAUCAUAGAUAGAUCCGUGCUGGGUUCUUGGUGACUAAUGUAAAUAAUGUCUGCUUUCCUUCCGGGUCAGUUUUUGUUUCUUUGAGCAUGAGCAAUUCCAUUCUUAUGUAUUGCAUUUCUUUCAACCAGUGUAAAGAUUUUGACGAAGAUCUGCUGUGCAAUGUUCCUGAAGAACUGCCAUUUGACGAGCAUCUGUUCUCCCUCUUCCAGCCUUUUGUUUAGUUUUCUGUUGUCUGGAUGCAAACAUCCUGCUAAAGCAUCCAAUUGUAGAUCGAUUUGUUUAUUUAUAGAGCAUUUUUUUAUACGUAUCGUCUAAAGUUGUUCCCAGA